GCCCCGCCCCGCAGGUGGGGAGGCAGGGGGAUGGGCUCCCCAAGGAAGUAGCCUUCCUCCUCCGAGUCCGAGGAUGAAGAGGAGGAGGAGGAGUCGUGCCAGGGGCCACCGCGGCCCCGGAGGCUGCAGCCCCGGGAGCAGAAGAUCUGCCCCCCCUUGGGCAGGAAGGGUUUGCCCAGCAGCGGCAGCCGGCAGCGGGUGCAGCAGAAGCAGGCGUCGGUGGCGUGCCAGUGCUGGCCCUCCAGCCACUAUCUCAUCCUACUCGGCCGUAACACAAGAAACCUGCAGGCCUGUAUCCUGUCUGAUUAGCUACAGCGAGUUAGCGCAGUGUCUGUAAUCUUGGGCCUAGAGAUAAACGGCCCAUCGGUUACCCCUUGUGACUCUGAAUGGGGAACCAAAUGUGUUUACCCAAACUCUGGGACGGACCGGUAACCGCAAGGGCAUGGAAGUAACGGCUCAGGCCAAAGGAAACGCUUUCGAGAACGAGCUACGCAGGACUAUGUGAGAACUUGCCAGCCCGUGGAGUGAGCGUCCCCUAAGAUUUAUCCGGGAGAGGAGAUCAGCUCUGGGCAUGGACAGCUGGGCACAGACACGGAUAUUCUGGAUAGUGCCAGGCCGCUGUAAGAGAGCGAAGCGCCAGACGAUGUCUUUGGGGCUCCGUGAUUCGGUGCUUUAGUUACUCGCUCGUUUAGCUCAGUGUAGCCUGAUUUGGGGAUAGUCUCUGCGAGCCUACAAUAAA